GCCUGCUUUAAACACUCUAGUUGUUGCAGUUAAAACGCUCGUAGUUGAAUCUGAUGGGGUCUUUGGCCGGCGCCUGGUCUUCGUACUGGGUCUUGCCGUGCUGAGCCCUAUUAUAUUGUACUGCUGCCCCUCGCGUGUCGUUCACUCGGCAGUGGGGUGCUGUGGCAGUGCCUUUUACCUUGAAGAAAUUAGAGUGUUUAAAGCAGGC
rnacentral:rRNA from 1 species